AAGUCGGAAUUGCUAGUAAUGGCAGGUCAGCAUACUGCCGUGAAUACGUUCCCGGGCCUUGUACACACCGCCCGUCACACCAUGAGAGUUAGGAAUACCCGAAGCCUGUGAGCUAACUUUUAGAGGCAGCAGUCGAAGGUAGAACUAAUGAUUGGGGUGAAGUCGUAACAAGGUAAC
rnacentral:rRNA from 1 species